UACGUAGGUGGCAAGCGUUGUCCGGAUUUACUGGGCGUAAAGAGCGCGCAGGCGGUCGGAUAAGUCGAAUGUGAAAGCCCCUGGCUCAACCGGGGAGGGUCAUUCGAUACUGUUCGACUCGAAGGCAGGAGAGGGAAGUGGAAUUCCGGGUGUAGUGGUGAAAGUGCGUAGAUAUCCGGAGGAACACCAGUGGCGAAGGCGACUUUCUGGCCUGUUCUUGACGCUGAGGCGCGAAAGCUAGGGGAGCAAACGGG
rnacentral:rRNA from 1 species